AGAGCGAACGCUGGCGGCAGGCCUAACACAUGCAAGUCGAACGGACCCUUCGGGGUUAGUGGCGGACGGGUGAGUAACACGUGGGAACGUGCCUUUAGGUUCGGAAUAGCUCCUGGAAACGGGUGGUAAUGCCGAAUGUGCCCUUCGGGGGAAAGAUUUAUCGCCUUUAGAGCGGCCCGCGUCUGAUUAGCUUGUUGGUGAGGUAAUGGCUCACCAAGGCUACGAUCAGUAGCUGGUCUGAGAGGAUGACCAGCCACAUUGGACUGAGACACGGCCCAAACUCCUACGGGAGGCAGCAGUGGGGAAUCUUGCGCAAUGGGCGAAAGCCUGACGCAGCCAUGCCGCGUGUAUGAUGAAGGUCUUAGGAUUAGUAAAAUACUUUACACCGGUAGAAAGAUUAAUGACUA
rnacentral:rRNA from 1 species